rnacentral:lncRNA from 1 species
UGAGAUUUAAGACAAAGAAAAUAAAUUUCUGCGAACCUCAGAAUAAAGACAUAAUUUUCAGAAUAUUCAUCAAUAAAUCAGAGUUUGUUCUAAAAUCCAUAGCUCAAUAAUGUGCUUGUGAAAUGUGUGUGUGGUCAUGUUAAAUCAGAGAAUAUAAAAUUUCACAAUUUCGUAAUUAUAAGGUAGACUUUGAAUAAUUUAUUCAAACUCUCAAAACUUAGACUAGGACAUACUCUGAAGAUAAUCAAUAAAAUAAUCUACCCCCUUUUCCCUUUUUUUUUUUUUUUUUUUUUUUUUUUUUUUUUUUUUUUUUUUUUUUUUUUUUUUUUUUUUUUUUUUUUUUUUUUUUUUUUUUUUUUUUUUUUUUUUUUUUUUUUUUUUUUUUUUUUUUUUUUUUUUUUUUUUUUUUUUUUUCAGGACGCUUCUCAGUGUGAGUGAGGCACGACCUUUAAAUAUACUAUUGCAUUAGUAUUUCUCCAGUAAUCAGAGAUUGUGACUGGUCACCAUAGAUUAUAAAAUCUUAGCAAUUACUUAAUACCAGCAAAUGUUUGGUUCUUCC